rnacentral:lncRNA from 1 species
CUUGGUUUGAUCAGUGUGGUAAAUAUCAUUAUUACUGCUGCACUCUUCAUUCCUGUUCUAAGAAGAAUAAACAUAUCUUUUCUGGGAAGAAGUGGAAAAAUGUUUAUCACAUAAACCAAGACAGCAAUACGUCGUCUAACACGGAAUCGAUUCCUCAGUCAAACAAGACGUGUUCAAUAGAUUCCUAUACACAUAAUUAUGUACCAAACCAAAUUAAACCAGGUGGAAUUGGUGUAACGAAGUGUAUUUCAAAUCCUGAUGUGAAUUAUAAAAAGAAGGAAUUUUUAAACAUUAGAUCCAAUAAAGAGCCAUCUCCAGAUGAUGUAGAAAAUGGAACAUCUUUCGAUAAUACCACCAAAUCUGAGGAUAUAGUACAAUCGAACAAGGAAACUAACCCGGAAGUAAAUUCAAAGACUAGGAAAGAUUUAGUGAAAAGAAGAAUAACCAUAAUGUAUUUUGUCAUAAUUAUUACCUAUAUUGUAUCAUAUAUACCCUCUUUGCUUAUUUUAAUACUUGCUUAUGCAAUAGGAGAUUUUAAUGUCAUAACAUUAACAGAGGGCGAAACAUUUGCGUGGACAUAUUUUUCACGCUUCGUUUUUCUAAACCAUAUAGUGAAUCCCUUUAUAUAUAGUUAUUUUGAUGUAAAGUUUAGAACAGAAUUGAAAACAUGUUUAUGGACAAACGUUAAGUGAUCAGUCACAGUCAAAACUUAACUUUACGAGUGUCAUAUUGGUCAAUAUCUGUACUUGUUGUUACAUAGGCGGUAAUGGUAACGUUUUUACUUGUAGCUCAGUCCAUAUCGUAAACUUGGAUAUGUAUGAUAGUUCGUUUCGAAGCUUUGACAUUUUCACAUAUGUGGUUAAAUUUUCGGGGAAGGAAGUGAAAUUACUUUUUCCGUUAAUUAGCAUACCCCGAACAUCCAUCCUUUCGUGAUUCGACUCCUUGUGGUAAAAAAAAACCCUUUUUAAGACAAUGAGUUCUUUGAAAAUGUGAUAUGUUGAACACAUUUAAUACCUCCAUAGUUUUUACACAUUUAUUCUGUGUUCCUCUACUUUUCUUAUCACCACAAAAGGUUAAGCUCAGUCAUUUGAAAAAAAAGAAACAUGUCCAAUAUCAAUUCACAGAGAUUUUUUGAUUACACGUGACUUUUGAGUUCCUCUUAUCGAGGAGCAUUAGGGAUAUUGUCCCAUAUAUAAUACAGAAGCAGGAGUUACCAGGGGGUUGUUAAAGCUCAGACGUGAAAAAGAAACAGGCCACGCUUUGAUAAAGAUAAAAAAGUCGAACAUGCGAACAAUAAUUAUAACAAGCACAACGUAGAAAAUUAACGAAUGAUUAACACAAACCCCAACCUUAAUAAGUAGGGGUGAUCUAAUGUGUUUCGGAAGGGUACAAAUAAUCUGCUCCAUGGUAGUGUUGCUUGGGUUAUUCUCGUUUAUGUGUGUGUUACAUAUUAAUGUUGUGUUUCUGUUGUGUCCUAGUUUUCCUCUUAUAUUUGAUGCGUUUCCCUCAGUUUUAGUUUGUAACCCGGAGUUGUUUUUUUUUCUCAAUCGAUUUAUGUAUUUCGAACAGCGGUAUACUACUGUUGCUUUUUGUAUAUUACACUUGAGGAAAAGAUGACGGAAUGGUGAUUACGAUAAUUAAAACUUAUCCGUCGAUUUUCCAUAUUAGUCAAUCAGCCAAUACGUUAUUGCGAUCGUAUUUUUUUCACGAAGGGAUGACUACAAUCUUUCUUUUUAUAGGCUUAUUUGACAAACAUAGAAAACGCAGAAUAAAUAUUUGAAGUUAAAGGAGUAUACUUCAACCUCAAAUUUUCCUUAAUCUAAAGCUUCGCAUUUUAUUUUUGCAUUUGCUUUUUGUGUUAUUAUUAUACAAUUAAGAUUUAGAUAUUUUGUAUUUUUCGAACUACACAUACUUGGAAUUUAUGUAUUUUGAACGGCGAAAAUAAUUUAAAAACUGACAUAUCCCACAUAAGGUAUCGAGAAUGGUAGAACUGGCUCGAGUACUGUAUAUAAUAUUGUUUCAGAAUAUUUUUAUCCAUCUAUGAAACAAAAAGUAAAAAUAAAAUUUUACAUACACAUAAAUCUUGUUUAUUUAGCUUUUCAUAUUGUGUUUUCUAUGCACACAACUGUUUGUUUAUUAAACAUUGUCUGCAUCCAGAAAGCGC